ACUAUUUCAUAAGACAGAGAUCUUCAACAGGGGGUCCGGGACCCUUAGGGGGUCCUCAGAGUAACUGCAGGGGGGCCACCAAAUUAUUUUUAUAUAGUUUAAAAACAAUAU